rnacentral:rRNA from 1 species
UACGUAGGGUGCAAGCGUUGUCCGGAAUUAUUGGGCGUAAAGAGCUCGUAGGCGGUUUGUCGCGUCGAAUGUGAAAACCCGGGGCUCAACCCCGGGCCUGCAUUCGAUACGGGCAGACUAGAGUUCGGUAGGGGAGUCUGGAAUUCCUGGUGUAGCGGUGAAAUGCGCAGAUAUCAGGAGGAACACCGGUGGCGAAGGCGGGACUCUGGGCCGAUGACUGACGUGAGGAGCGAAAGCGGUGGGGAGCGAACGGAUAGAAACCCU